rnacentral:lncRNA from 1 species
GUUUAACUCAGUAGCUCUAGUAUCUCUCUGAUCCUCUCCCAGAGGGUCUGAAGCUUUCAGCCUCCUGAACGGGUAAGCUCCCCCUCUAGUGUUCACUGCUCAUCAAAUUAUUCCUCCAACAAAUAAGACAGGAACUGCCUGUUUUUUGAUUCCCUAUCGAAGGACGGAGCUUGAUUACUGUUUAAUGACACAAAGAGGAAAAGAUUCCUGAAGUGAUUAAUGAGGUCAUAUAUCCUACCAGGAAAGCUAGGGAAGUUCAAUGGGACAAUGGAAAAAGCACUAAGAGACUUGGAGCACCUGAAGCCUCCCCACCUCCCCCAGAACAGAUUCUCAGACACCUAACAAGCAUUCCAACGCUGUCCUCCACCCCCUGCAAGGCCUGGGCACAGCAGUGAGGCAGGUUGGUGCUGGCCAUAUGCACUCUGUGGCAUCAAGGGUGGGGUCUGGAGGCAGCCAUUCUUAUUCCCCAGGAUGGCACGUUCAGUGGGCACCCUGAUCCAGGAGCUGAGUUCAUCUCAAAUGCGUAGGUUGCAAUCCUUCGGGGAGCUCAUCUGAUGCAGAGUCUGGUAGCAGGCCCAU